AGGACGAACGCUGGCGGCGUGCUUAACACAUGCAAGUCGAGCGGAAAGGCCCUUCGGGGUACUCGAGCGGCGAACGGGUGAGUAACACGUGGGCAACCUGCCCCUAGCUCUGGGAUAACUCCGGGAAACCGGUGCUAAUACCGGAUACGACCUCAUUGGGCAUUCUUUGAGGUGGAAAGAUUUAUUGGCUAGGGAUGGGCCCGCGGCCUAUCAGCUUGUUGGGGGGGUAACGGCUUCCCAAGGCGACGAUCGGUAGCUGGUCUGAGAGGACGAUCAGCCACACUGGGAUUGAGAACGGCCCAGACUCCUACGGGGGGCAGCAGUGAGGAAUUUUCCGCAAUGGAGGCAACUCUGACGGAGCAACGCCGCGUGCAGGAGGAAGGUUUUCGGAUCGUAAACUGCUUUUCUCGGGGACGAGCAAGGACGGUACCCGAGGAAGAAGCCCCGGCUAACUACGCGCCAGCAGCCGC
rnacentral:rRNA from 1 species